rnacentral:misc_RNA from 1 species
GAUGAAGAACGCAGCGAAAUGCGAUACUUGGUGUGAAUUGCAGAAUCCCGUGAACCAUCGAGUCUUUGAACGCAAGUUGCGCCUCAAGCCAUUAGGUUGAGGGCACGUCUGCCUGGGCGUCACAUAUCGUUGCCUGAUGCCAGUUUCCUCGUGAUGGGUGACUGUGCAGGGCGAAUGAUGGCUUCCCGUGAGCAUUGUUGCCUCAUGGUUGGUUGAAAAUUGAGUCCUUGGUAGGGAGCGCCGUGAUAGAUGGUGGUUGAGUGACGAACGAGACCCAAUCAUGUGAGACCCCUACCGAAUCUGGCCUUCAUGACCCACAUGCGUCUUUGGAACGCUCAUGACGAGACCUCAGGUCAGGCGGGGCUACCCGCUGAGUUUAAGCAUAUCAAUAAGCGGAGGA